rnacentral:tRNA from 1 species
UCCCGUGUGGCUCAGUUGGUAGAGCAUGGUCUUUGCAACGCCAGGGUUGUGGGUUUGAUUCCCACAGGGGAC